UACAGAGGUGGCAAGCGUUGUUCGGAACUACUGGGCGUAAAGGGCGCGUAGGCGGCCCUCUAAGUCCCGUGUGAAAGCCCCCGGCUCAACCGGGGAACUGCACGGGAAACUGGAAGGCUUGAGUUCGGGAGAGGGAAGCGGAAUUCCGGGUGUAGCGGUGAAAUGCGUAGAUAUCCGGAGGAACACCGGUGGCGAAGGCGGCUUCCUGGACCGACACUGACGCUGAGGCGCGAAAGCUAGGGGAGCAAACGGG
rnacentral:rRNA from 1 species